GCCAUCAUGGCAUAGUGGUUUGAGCAACAAACUACAACUCUGGAGACCAGGGUUCAAUUCCCCAGUCAGCCA